UCCUGUUGACUUCAACAGCAGGGAAAUAUGUGUCUGCAUCCCUAACCAGCAGACAUCGGUGUUGAUAGAGCUCUACGACAGAAGACAGAUCGAACUUCAUCAAAGUGAUCAAGAGUGUUUCGCUAUUGAAAAGCAAAGUCAAUGUUACGAAGCAGAUGUAUCAUUCUGGAAUAGAACAUCAAAUAAUACAGAUGUGUCAAUCUUCAUAUCACCGACUUCAGCAUUUUUUAUACCAACUCUGCU